GAGCGGCAGACGCCGAGGCGAGGGACGCGCGGCGGGCGGCGGCUCCGAACAGCGGCCGGGCGGGGGGCGCUGGAGGCCAGGCCGGCCAGGGGGGAUCCCGAGAGCUCCAUGAAGUUCCCCCGGGGCCGCGGACGGGGCGCUGGCUUAGGGAGGCUGUCGGGGGAGCCCCGACACCCAUGGCAAGGCGGGGGCCGCGGCGGCGCGCUCGGAGUAAGUCGGGGCCGGGGGCCGGAGCUCAGGGGAGGAGGCCGGAAUUAGGCAGGGGUGACUCCCGGCCUGGCCAGAUGGCCAGGCUGCUCUGUCUCGGAGUCGGUCGGCGGCGCCUCCACGGAGCCCGAUGGAGCCGCCAGCCCCGCGCCGCUCAGCUCAGUGGCUUUUUUGGAAACUUGCAAAUGUUUUCGUAGAGAAAGAAGGGGGAGGGGAGGGAGCGAGCGAGGGAGUGACCGAAACAGAGCUUGGGGCUGCUGGAAGAACGGAGGCCAAGGCCAGGGGAGCUGGAGACGGACUGACAGACAGGCUGACAGAGCGUCGGGGCCGCAGGCGCGCUCUUGCCGCGCGGGCGCAGGCGGGACUCGGACAGAGGAUGGGGAGGGGGUGCGCGAGGCGGCGGACUGGGGAUGAGGAUCUAAGGGUGCCGAAGGACCCAGGGGCUGGGAGCUGGAGGUCAGAACACCGGAGGGCUCAGUGUCGUUGCAAACUUGGGAUCGCAUCCCCGAGCUGCACGCCCCGCGCGGCUCAAAACUCGGCCCCUGCCCCGCCCCAAUUCCCCUACUGCAGACCGCCGCUGAGCUAAAAAUAACAGCCCUGUUCGCCCCCCGCAGACCGCGACCCCGACCCCUCC
rnacentral:lncRNA from 1 species